GAGCAUCACCGCAGAGCAAGGAAGACAUUCUUCAUUUUUCUAUGUGACGCACGAGGAGCCAUAAAAGUUGAAGAUGGGUGCUUGUGAGCCUAACGACACAUGUCCCAUCCUGUCAAGGAUUCUUGCCAUUGGAACCCAGCCCCCAUGUUAUGAAGAAGCCCAGGCAGCAAUGGGAGGCCCUGUGUAGAUGUUUCAGCCAAAAGCCUCAGCUGAAGUAUCAGCCAACGGUCAGCAUUGACCAUCAGUUAUGUGGGUGAAUGAACCUUCAGAUGAUUCCAGCCCCGAGUCUUCAAGCCACCCUACUGAUGCUGAGUGGAGCAGAGAUAAGCUGUUCCCACUUCGUCCUGCCCAAAUUACAGAGCUGUGAGCAGAAUAAGUGUUAUCAUUGCUUUAAGUCUCUAAGUUUUGGAGUAAUUUGGAACACAUGCAUGUUAGAACCUUUGCAGUAUUUACCUGGUUU